ensembl:snRNA U6 U6 spliceosomal RNA
AUACUUCUUGGCUCAGCAGCACAUAUACUAAAAUUGGAAUUCCCUAGAGAAAACUAGUUUGACCCUUGUGCAAGGAUGACAUACAAUUUGGUGAAGAGUUCCAUAUUUUU